CUGUGAGCUAGCUCACACUAACUCAGCUUAGAGGGAACACUGGUCCACAGUAUGAGAAAGGAUCUCAUCAGGGCGAGGAAUGCCUGGCUGGGGCCCUGGAGGACCACUGCAGCGGAUUAGCAGUACUAGAUAGAUGAACGGUCUGAUCUGGUGCAAGGCAGAUCCGUAUUUGGGGACAGCCACACAUUGUCUGUUUCCCCGUUUCCUCCGGGGGCACAUGAGCGCACAAGGAUCGAGCCACUGGAAAACAUUUGUGAUGCCGUUUUACCCGGUAGGUGCCAGCGACAAUCAAUACUAGCACGGGAUGAGCCAUGUCUGUGGACUUUAAACUAUCCCAGGAUUCCUUAACCGCGUUCUCAGUAAGGAGAUCAGUAACAAGGGGCAAGCGUUCCUAAAAGAGUUUGCUCACUGCUAGCUUAUGUUCCGUGCAAAAUGAAGCCUAUACAGACUUUUGGGUGUGUCUUUAAGGGCAUACAUGUGGGGGCUCACACCAUACACUGUUCUCGGGUCUUGCCCAGCAGUACGCAUAAGUGUCCCCAGUGGGAUAAAGGCAGCUCCCUGAGGCUACCAGGAAAAUGGUCUGAGGGGAAGCUUAAUCCUCAUGUGCAAUGGUUCCGAACUGAAUUGGGCUUCUGUGCACCUGGAAAUCUUUAACGCGAAAACUCUCAUCGUACCGGUACUUGACAGGACCUGGGGACAAUGUAUCAUGUGGUUUAGGCCCUCCACUCACACAGAGGAAUACAAGGGCCUUGGCAAAGUACUGCAUGUGAACUGAAUGGGUUUCAGUUUGCUCACUGCUAUCUUAUGUCCCUUGCAAAAUGAAGCCUAGACUUUUGGGUGUGUCUUUAAGGGCACACACAUGGGGGCUUAGAACAGGGGUCUCUAACCUUUUAGACCCCGUGGGCGCUGUUGGAAUUCUGACACGGCAAUAGGGACAACCACAAAAUGGCUGCCGCAGGAGGGAGAGCCAGCCACAGAACGUCAGACAGUGAGGUUAUACGUAACUCUUGUAGUAACUCUUCAACCUUUCAGGCAGAAAUACUGUUCUUGAAAACACCUCGCUUAUCUAUAUGCAGUAAUGAUCCUGGUGUUGUGGCAGUAGCUGCCAAAGCAAUGUUGCUGUUUUUUCAGUCUGCCCUGCCAAUCAAAGCUCCAGUGGCCAGUAAGAUGCCCUGCUAGGCAAAAGCCCCACCUGGCCCUACCCACUUUCUAAAAAUGACUAACAGGCACCAGAAAAGGUGCCUGCAGUUACGAUGGUGCCCCCUGCCUUAGAACAGUCCCUAGAAGUUGGUGCCGUGUGUGGAGGUUCCAAGACAAGCAGUGGGUUUCUUAGCAGAUGAGUUGAUAUAAAAAGGGUUCUUUCCCCAAAGGGAGUUUUGGAUACCACUGUGAUAUCUCACAAGAAAUCUACAUUUUCCAAAGGAUCAAAUAUUGCACUUGACAAUGUGACAUCCUUCUGAUCAAAUGAGGGAAGACAUGUUGACGGGGCACAAAAUUAGUGGCAGAUGUGCAAUUUAUUGUGCAAAAAAGAAGAAGAAGCUGAUCGUGCAGAAAAGCUCUAAAGCCUUAGUACAGUUUGUGUUUCCAUUUUCCAUUCAGCGCUCCCCUCCACCCCAUCCCAAUGCAAAAUGAAUGUGACUGGUUCCAGGGAAGCAAAUGCAGCUUGUUCCCAGCCAUCAUACUUAGGUCAGAGAGCAAUUCCAGAAUUAGGCAGGAUACUUUCCCCCCGGGGCCUGAGAAAUAGGAUGAGUGUGUAAAUAGUUUGUGUGAAGAGUGAAUGACCUAAAUGAAAAAGGCAGAACUGAGGAGGACGCAGGCAGAAAAUCCAAAAGAGGGAAGAGAAAGACAGGAUGGAUUGAAAUCCUAAUGGAAUAGGUGGCAGGGGACAAAACGGAGGAUUCUACAAGGAUAGGUACUGAAAAUAGGAGGAGUGAGGAAUAGUUUGGUAGAGGAGCCAGGAUGAGAAGGGGGGGCAGGGAGAUAAGCCAAUUCAGACUCAUGGAAGCAUUAACUGAGGAAGACAAAAAAAAAUGAACCUGAUAUCAAGAAUGCUGAACAAGAGGGUUAAAAAACUUACAAAAAAGAUGUUACGCACCAGAGAAGGGGGAUUUGAAGGACAAUGGUAAGGAAUAUAGUGUAGGAAAGAUUGAAUAGAUGCACGGGUGACAUAUCGAGAUGGCAUCUUAGCCACGAAAGGAUGGGGACGUUAGACCUGGAGAAAAAAAGUCUUUGGUGGGAUUGAGAAGAUACCAAAAGGAGAUGAAAAGAAGGAAUGUGAAUAAGGCCAUGGAUUGUGGAAGAAAAUAAGAGACUUGGAGAAAAGGCCUCAAAGCUGAACCGAUUCAAACGUGUCGUGCACAAGGACUUGGGUGGCGUAAGAGACCGAACUAGGAGCAACGCAAGCCCACACAGACUUUCUCACUUGCUCUCCCCUUUGAUCGCCGGAGGGCUCCAUGCUAGUCAGUCCAAUAGCUUUAUUACCUCAUGGCGCAAGAAAACCAAUAGAGACUUGGGACAGAGACCUUUUGAACCUGCUACCUCUGUGUGCCCUGGGGGGGCUUGUGCUGCAAAGCCCCCCAAAACCUGCCCUGUUCCCCAUGACAGAAAUUGGAGGAGGGAGGGGGGUUUAUUGCGUGACUAGCAUUUGAUUUGUUCUGGGCUUUUUUUUUUUUUUUUGCUUUAAAUUUCCUUUGCUUUUAUUAUCAUUUUUUUUCUUCUAUAAAAUUGAAGACAAGUUUCA